UACGAAGGGGGCGAGCGUUGUUCGGAAUUACUGGGCGUAAAGGGCGCGUAGGCGGCCGAUCAAGUCAGAUGUGAAAGUCCUGGGCUUAACCUGGGGACUGCAUUUGAUACUGAUUGGCUUGAAUGCAGGAGAGGAUAGCGGAAUUCCCAGUGUAGAGGUGAAAUGCGUAGAGAUGCGGAGGAACACCGAUGGCGAAGGCAGCCCCCUGGGCUAGCACUGACGCUCAGGCACGAAAGCGUGGGGAGCAAACAGG
rnacentral:rRNA from 1 species